UACGUAGGGGGCAAGCGUUGUCCGGAAUCAUUGGGCGUAAAGAGCGUGUAGGCGGCUCGGUAAGUCCGCUGUGAAAGUCCAGGGCUCAACCCUGGAAUGCCGGUGGAAACUGUCGGGCUAGAGUCCGGAAGAGGCGAGUGGAAUUCCUGGUGUAGUAGUGAAAUACGUAGAUAUCGGUUAGAACACCUGAGGCGAAGGCGGCUAUCUGGCGGUACAUUGACGCUGAGGCGCGAAAGCGUGGGGAGCAAACAGG
rnacentral:rRNA from 1 species